GAAGUCAUCGUCUUUACUUCAUGCAAUACGAUAGGUAUAGUGGUAGGAGCAGUCUUUGCAGUUAUUGGUGUCAUGGUGAUAACCGUUGUUAUUCUGAUUCUUUACAGAAGAUAUCAAACACGUUCUUUUACGACAACAUCUAACCUUAAAUGUAAGAGUUUAGUAUUAGACAAAAACAAUGACAUAAAGUCACGUGACAUGAAAUCAGAAAGUAAAGGAACGCUUAACUAUUAUGUCCACACAGAUCAUAGUAAUAGUAAUAUCAGCGAAAGAGAACUUUAUGAGACUGUUGUCUAUAAGGACAAAAGUAAUAAUGAACAGUCGAUCAACAUAUGUACUAAUGAAUCAGGGAUGAAGAAUAACACUUAUGGCCAAGACGACGCCAAAUACGAAACUGUUGAGGAAAUCGAGAGGGACAGAGCUGUCAGAAAUAUAUAUAGAAAUAAAAGUAUCGAAAAAUAUAUGAAUAUUAAUGCAGACUCUGACACAGUCGAAAAAAAAUUAAAUCAAAAGGCAAAUGCUAAUGAUGAGCUUUAUUACAAUAUUGAUGAACAUAAAUCUGAAGAAUACGAAAUUCCGACGAGAACAGAAAGCGCACCACAUUUGUAUUCAACGCUUAAUGCCGACUCGGAAGAAGAUACCAUAAAAAGUGAAACACAAGUCCUUGAAAACACAGAGGAAGAAUAUGAAUUUAUGAUGCCACAGUAAGCAUUGAAAAAAAAAGAGAAAUGAGCAACAACGAUUUAAUCGGAAGAAAUAUAGAGUAUUAAUAAGUAGCAACUUCGGAAACCUUAUGUGAUACAAUAUACCACAAUCAGACAAAUAGGAACUAUAUAACAGCUGCAAUGAACAUUAAAUAUAUUAGAUGCAAUAGUUUCUAAUACGAACUAUGGUUUAUUUAAGUUGUCUGCACAGGAACAAAAAUCUUUUCUGUAACAUUCAUCAUCUGUCAAAGCCAGGUUGAUUCAUUCUAUAUAACUAAAAGGAAUAUUAUAUAAAAGAAGUACGACGUGUGGGUAAAUAAGAAAGUGCUGUGCUUAGAUUAUUUGCCAUUGUAAUUCUUUGGAAUUUCUAAAUUGAAACUCUUCAAAUUAUAUUCCCCAAAAUGUCAAUCAAAAGGAUAGUAAAAAAGAAAAAUCAAAAAUAUGUUUGAAUAGCGGGUAGAAAAACGGUAACCCAGCUAAGUAAAUAAGGAAUCGAAAUCUAGAGAAAAGAAUAAACGGACAAAUCAAAAGCAACGACACAAAUGUACAGAAACCACAACGGACAAAUCAAAAGCAACGACACAAAUCUACAGAAACCACAACGGACAAAUCAAAAGCAACGACACAAAUCUACAGAAAGAAAAAGAGACAAAUCAAAAGCAACGACACAAAUCUAGAGAAAGAAAAAGAAACAAAUCAAAAGCAACGACACAAAUCUACAAAAAGAAAAAGAGACAAAUCAAAAGCAACGACACAAAUCUACAGAAAGAAAAAGAGACAAAUCAAAAGCAACGUAUCAAAUCUACAGAAAGAAAAAGAGACAAAUCAAAUGCAACGACACAAAUCUACAGAAAGAAAAAGAGACAAAUCAAAAGAAACGAGACAAAUGUACAGAAACGACAAGGAACAAAUUAAAAGUACACUGUACUAGCAAGUGUACAGAUAAAACGAACAACGGAAAUAAUUCGUGAUAUGAAUUAAUCAGGAAGUUACUUCUUUGGACAAAAUUAAAAACUUACGAAAAGGAAACCAUUGUUUUUGUUUACUAUGCUAUCGGGAUUGGUUGGUAUAUAGUUUAUGUGUACCUUUAUUUAAAUUUACUUACGUCCUUGAAAUGGCGAAAACUGAAAAAAAAAGGAUUUUACUUUUUAUCUUUGUGGUACUUUGCCUUAAAUGUAUUUUAUUCAAAAGAAAAGGUCAAUGUUUCGUAGUCUUACCGAAUUCAAAAUAAAGCUUCCGUAUAUUCGUUUAGAGAGUUUUGCACAUUCAAAGCUGAUCAGAAUGUCAAUAUUCUGCUGAGGAAACUGUCCACAAAAUUCAGUGAUCUAUCGAAACCUAAGCAUUCUACCAAUGUUUAUCCCGAAACAAAUAUUUGGGAAUUUGUGUUGUUUCUGUAUUUUAUUAUUGGAGUAAACACAUGUUUUCUUUUCGGACUAUUAUAUAAAGUUUGUGAGUGCAUCUUGCGUGAACGUGAGGCUUUGAAGACAGGAAGACAAAAGUUGAAAAGAAGAGCGAAGAUUUGUAGGACAAUUUUACUGUUUAAGCACAUAAUUUUAGUGAACAUAUGCACAAACAAUGUUUAUAAAUAACGUUGUACAUAAUUCUUCCCUGAGAGACGUUUUUACGACCAACAACAAAUAUUAGACAAUUUUAAUUUGCUGCCAUUGUCCGCCAUCUUGGAAAAUUAAAUUUAUUUUUAUUUUC